AAACCGUUCAGGGGUAAACCUGAGAAACCCAAAAGAUCGAAAGGGGAGAUUCAGCGUCAGCGGCACAAAAACACUUGUCGGCUUCCGUGCGGGUGAGCGAUGUCCGGGAUGCCGUUGCCUUCGCGGCUACGGUGUUCACGCAGGCACGCCGCCGCUGCGGUUAUGUCCGACGCCGCCGGCGUGCAUUUCUCCCCCGGUAGAACGUCGCGACCCGCUGGGUGUCGGCCUACGGCUGCAAUAGGGGGUAGCCUGCGGCGCGUUGCUUUAAUCGGCGCGCGUCCAGACCCCCGAACGUGGCCCGGCCGGCUGCCCGGCGGUAAACACAAACGAGAUUAAAAUACAAACGAACGGUAUCGGGUCGCACACUGUAAGAUGUGCGUCGGGCCCGUCGCAAGCGCGGUCGCGUGUACACUCGGUGCGUACGGAAGUCAAAGCCGUCCCCGAGCCCGACCCGCUGUUAGCCGGCGGUGUCCUCCGACAGAUCCGCGGCUCGGCGCGCGCCUUAAAAACGCGCGUCGGGUCCGAUUUACCGGUCGGCGUCGCUAUUGCUUUGGGUACUCUCAGGA
rnacentral:rRNA from 1 species